CGCUGCAUGGCGCAACCGGUAGCGCUCUUGUACUUCAGCCAAAUGGCCUCCAGGGUUCAAUCCCCGCCGGGGCGA